GUGUUUCCCCUUCCCCGCACAUCUCAUCUCUUUACUCUGACCGAGACACAGCGGGCGAACUCCAAUGGCGGAGUUUCCCCCUCACUCACCGUAACCGGCACCGGCGGGCACACGGCGCCGCCCUUCCAGCCCUCUCUGCCUCUGGCCGUCAUAGUGCCCUUGAUUCUCCCUAUUUGAGCUUCACAUCCCCGUGCUGUGCACACUGCUGGAAUCACAGGGGUCGCCGCCUUUCUUUCUCUAGGGAGGUCGCUGUGGGUGCUUCCUUCUAUGAGAUCCCGGCGUGACGGGUGCCGCCGGUGCCGAAAUUGGGAGGAGCACCGGCCGAGGGCCACAUCAAGAGCCCCUGUCCGCAAUGACACUGCGUGUGACGCAAGGCCGCCGACCCACUGCGCCCACUGCCCUGCUGGCCUCUGGACGGGCCGAACCAUUGUUGCGCCCUGCGCGCCGUGCCAGCGGCCGGCCAGCUCGGCACCGUCCUGCUGCGGUGCUGCCGGCCGCCGCCGUCGCAUUCCCCGGCCGCCCCGUUGUCCGGCCUGGCACGGAUGAUUGAUGAGCCGCGAUGUCUUCUUCCUCCGUUGUGGUACUGCAUGCAGAUUGGCCUGUAGGGUAGGGUGUUGCACGUCGAGUUCGGCAGUCAGGUUAUAGCGGCAGGUUGUUGUCCACUAUUGGCUGGAGGAUGAGAUGUGCUACCUGAUCUGGAAUAGCACUUCAAAGGAUGGUAGAGACCUUCUGUGAAAAUUGGAGAACAAAUUUGACUCUCAUUGUAUUCCCUCGGUAUGAUAGGAUUGUUUUGCUCAUCAUUUGAUUGUGUAGUGUUCUGAGAGUUGAGAGCUUGGAUGAUAUGAUAUGCAUUGUCAGGUAUGAACAUAUAGUCUAAUUGCUGAUGCAUGGUUAUAAAACUGAAGAACCAAAAAAGGGGACUGCAGGCUUCAACAUCAGUGAAAAAUAAUAUUGUGGGAGCCUCCACUAUUGAUUUGCAGGAGUUUAAUGUAGUCAGAAAUUGGGUUCCUCAUCCCCUAGCAAGCUUAUGGACCGAGCACGCAUUUGGGUGUCAUGGUGAAAUAAUUUUUGAGGCUUCGGCUGAAUUCCUGAUGGCACUUUCUACAUACAAGGAAACAAGCUCUACAAUCGAUGACAACGCGAGGAAGAACUUAGGGCCAACAGCCCUACCGGCCACAAAUAAGCAUAACUUUGUAUCAAUUAUGUGGUUUCAAAACUGUCCGAAUAUACCCAUUCAUUAUUUGCAGUCAAACUCAGGAGAAGAAAAAACAUCAUCUAAGUAGGUGCUCCAAGCUAAAUAGUUCGUUGUCCUUGGUUAGGUAUGGAUUUCAAAAAGAUGGGAAAAAUACCAAGAAUUAUACCAGGACAAAAUAUUGACUAAACACUUAUGUUUGCAGCAAGUUCAAAAAUUUGAGCUAUGGUGACUGAGUUUGAUCAGGAGUA